rnacentral:rRNA from 1 species
GGUGGUUUAUCGCAUCGUGCUUGAAAGCCCGAGGCUCAACCUCGGCGUUGGGCACGAGAUGGAUAGACUAGAGGGAGACAGAGGUAAGGGGAACUCAUAGUGGAGCAGUGAAAUGCGUUGAUAUUAUGAGGAACACCAAAGGCGAAGGCACCUUACUGGGUCUCAUCUGACACUCAGACACGAAAGCUAGGGGAGCGAAGCAGAUUAGAGACCUGCGUAGUCCUAGCCCUAAACGCAUGUCUGCUAGUUACCCCGCGUAAGCGGGGCGACGUAAGCUAACGCGUUAAGCAGACCGCCUGGGGAGUACGAUCGCAAGAUUAAAACUCAAAGGAAUUGACGGGGACCCGCACAACCGGUGGAGCGUGUAGUUCAAUUCGAGACAAAGCGAAGGACCUCACCAGGUCUUGACAUUCCGGCGUUCUAUUUCCUAGAAACAGGAGAAGGUCCGCAAGGAGGCCGGAACAGCAGCUGCAUGGCUGUCGUCAGCUCGUGCCGUGAGGUGUUCCCUUAAGUGGGAAAACGAGCGCAACCCGUGUCCAAUGUUAUAUGUUUCAUUGGAGACCGCCCA